GGGGUUGUGGCUCAAUGGUAGAGUGCUUGCCUAGCAUGUGUGAAGCACUGGGUUCGAUCCCCAGCACCA
rnacentral:tRNA from 1 species